rnacentral:rRNA from 1 species
GGGCGUUAAGUUGCAGGGUAUAGACCCGAAACCCGGUGAUCUAGCCAUGGGCAGGUUGAAGGUUGGGUAACACUAACUGGAGGACCGAACCGACUAAUGUUGAAAAAUUAGCGGAUGACCUGUGGCUGGGGGUGAAAGGCCAAUCAAACCGGGAGAUAGCUGGUUCUCCCCGAAAGCUAUUUAGGUAGCGCYUCGUGAAUUCAUCUCCGGGGGUAGAGCACUGUUUCGGCUAGGGGGCCAUCCCGGCUUACCAACCCGAUGCAAACUGCGAAUACCGGAGAAUGUUAUCACGGGAGACACACGGCGGGUGCUAACGUCCGUCGUGAAGAGGGAAACAACCCAGACCGCCAGCUAAGGUCCCAAAGUCAUGGUUAAGUGGGAAACGAUGUGGGAAGGCCCAGACAGCCAGGAUGUUGGCUUAGAAGCAGCCAUCAUUUAAAGAAAGCGUAAUAGCUCACUGGUCGAGUCGGCCUGCGCGGAAGAUGUAACGGGGCUAAACCAUGCACCGAAGCUGCGGCAGCGACRCUGAUGYGUUGUUGGGUAGGGGAGCGUUCUGUAAGCCUGCGAAGGUGGCCUGUGAGGGUUGCUGGAGGUAUCAGAAGUGCGAAUGCUGACAUAAGUAACGAUAAAGCGGGUGAAAAGCCCGCUCGCCGGAAGACCAAGGGUUCCUGUCCAACGUUAAUCGGGGCAGGGUGAGUCGACCCCUAAGGCGAGGCCGAAAGGCGUAGUCGAUGGGAAACGGGUUAAUAUUCCCGUACUUGGUGUUACUGCGAAGGGGGGACGGAGAAGGCUAUGUUGGCCGGGCGACGGUUGUCCCGGUUUAAGCGUGUAGGYKKGUKUUCCAGGYAAAUCCGGAAAAUCAAGGCUGAGGCGUGAYGACGAGGCACUACGGUGCUGAAGCAACAAAUGCCCUGCUUCCAGGAAAAGCCUCUAAGCAUCAGGUAACAUCAAAUCGUACCCCAAACCGACACAGGUGGUCAGGUAGAGAAUACCAAGGCGCUUGAGAGAACUCGGGUGAAGGAACUAGGCAAAAUGGUGCCGUAACUUCGGGAGAAGGCACGCUGACACGUAGGUGAAGUGAUUUACUCAUGGAGCUGAAGUCAGUCGAAGAUACCAGCUGGCUGCAACUGUUUAUUAAAAACACAGCACUGUGCAAACACGAAAGUGGACGUAUACGGUGUGACGCCUGCCCGGUGCCGGAAGGUUAAUUGAUGGGGUCAGCGCAAGCGAAGCUCCUGAUCGAAGCCCCGGUAAACGGCGGCCGUAACUAUAACGGUCCUAAGGUAGCGAAAUUCCUUGUCGGGUAAGUUCCGACCUGCACGAAUGGCGUAAUGAUGGCCAGGCUGUCUCCACCCGAGACUCAGUGAAAUUGAACUCGCUGUGAAGAUGCAGUGUACCCGCGGCAAGACGGAAAGACCCCGUGAACCUUUACUAUAGCUUGACACUGAACAUUGAGCCUUGAUGUGUAGGAUAGGUGGGAGGCUUUGAAGUGUGGACGCCAGUCUGCAUGGAGCCGACCUUGAAAUACCACCCUUUAAUGUUUGAUGUUCUAACGUGGACCCGUUACCCGGGUUGCGGACAGUGUCUGGUGGGUAGUUUGACUGGGGCGGUCUCCUCCUAAAGAGUAACGGAGGAGCACGAAGGUUGGCUAAUCCUGGUCGGACAUCAGGAGGUUAGUGCAAUGGCAUAAGCCAGCUUGACUGCGAGCGUGACGGCGCGAGCAGGUGCGAAAGCAGGUYAUAGUGAUCCGGUGGUUCUGAAUGGAAGGGCCAUCGCUCAACGGAUAAAAGGUACUCCGGGGAUAACAGGCUGAUACCGCCCAAGAGUUCAUAUCGACGGCGGUGUUUGGCACCUCGAUGUCGGCUCAUCACAUCCUGGGGCUGAAGUAGGUCCCAAGGGUAUGGCUGUUCGCCAUUUAAAGUGGUACGCGAGCUGGGUUUAGAACGUCGUGAGACAGUUCGAGUCUCCUGAAGGAACGUUGAAGACGACGACGUUGAUAGGCCGGGUGUGUAAGCGCAGCGAUGCGUUGAGCUAACCGGUACUAAUGAACCGUGAGGCUUAACCUU